rnacentral:rRNA from 1 species
AGCGAACGCUGGCGGCAGGCUUAACACAUGCAAGUCGAACGGGCAUAGCAAUAUGUCAGUGGCAGACGGGUGAGUAACGCGUGGGAACGUACCUUUUGGUUCGGAACAACACAGGGAAACUUGUGCUAAUACCGGAUAAGCCCUUACGGGGAAAGAUUUAUCGCCGAAAGAUCGGCCCGCGUCUGAUUAGCUAGUUGGUAGGGUAAUGGCCUACCAAGGCGACGAUCAGUAGCUGGUCUGAGAGGAUGAUCAGCCACAUUGGGACUGAGACACGGCCCAAACUCCUACGGGAGGCAGCAGUGGGGAAUAUUGGACAAUGGGCGAAAGCAUGAACGAGCCAUGACGCGUGAGUGAUGAAGGCCGUAGGGUUGUACAGCUCUUUUGUGCGGGAAGAUAAUGACGGUACCGAAAGAAUAAGCCCCGGCUAACUUCGUG